AGCUAAGUGCCAUGAUGUCAUAAUGAGCGCCUUAUGAUGGAAGCCCACCUCUCCUCCCACUCAGUGGUCCUCAGAGCUUUCUGAAGAAAGGUAUCAAGUUGUUACUCUAAACUCAAGGAGCAGAAAACUCCACCCAGCAGCUUUUCACUCUGCCAGGACUGGCAGAAGAGCCUGUUGAAUCUGUCAGCCUGCAUCAAAGCGAUGGAACUGAUUGAAGACCACGACUGGGGGAAGGAGCUGGCAGCUGUGGAAGUUGAUGGGUGCUCAAGAAAACAGUGGUCCAUUAAGAAUGCACUUGGCAGUGACUGAGUCUAGAUGGGGUCUGCCUGCUGUUGGCCUGAUAUCAAUCCAGAGGUCAGAAUUUCCAGAGUCACGGAAUGUGGUCUUCAAAGAUCUAUGCUGCUUGCCUUGCAUACAACGGCCAGGAAGUCCCAGCUUCAAUCCCCUGCCAUCUCCAUUUCCCAGCAAUCUCAAUACUCUCUCCAGCUGUCCUCCUCACCUUCAAUGCAUAUUGAGGCAAUGCCUCUCAUUUAUUGCGCCAUAUGAAUCUGCUGUUGCUGUUAUGUGCCAUCAAAUCACCUCUGACCCGUGACAACUCUAUGACUGAGCGAUGUUCAAAAGGCUCUGUCCUCAAUUGCCCUGCUCAGUUCUUGUAAACUCAAGCCUCUGGCUUCCUAAAGACAGUAUUAUCAACCCUUUAAAAUAUACAGUUAAAUUUUAGUAGUGAUGUCUUAGCUUGUUCCCAUCUAUCUUGCAAUUAAUCUUCCUCUUUUUCCUGCUGCCUUCACCUUUUCCCAGCAUUAUUGUCUUCUUCAGACAAUCCUGUCUUCUCAUGAUGUGUGCAAAGUAGGACAAUCUCAGCUUCAGUUUUUCCAAUGUUUUUUGCCUCCUGAGAUAGUUCAGGCUUGAUUUGAUCUAGGACCCACUUGCUUAUCUUUCUGGCAGUCCAG